CGCGGCCUAUCAGCUUGUUGGUGAGGUAACGGCUCACCAAGGCAUCGACGGGUAGCUGGUCUGAGAGGACGAUCAGCCACACUGGGACUGAGACACGGCCCAGACUCCUACGGGAGGCAGCAGUAGGGAAUCUUGCGCAAUGGGCGAAAGCCUGACGCAGCAACGCCGCGUGGGGGAUGAAUGCCUUCGGGUUGUAAACCCCUUUCAGCAGGGACGAAAAUGACGGUACCUGCAGAAGAAGCUCCGGCCAACUACGUGCCAGCAGCCGCGGUAAUACGUAGGGAGCGAGCGUUGUCCGGAAUUAUUGGGCGUAAAGAGCUCGUAGGCGGUUCAGUAAGUCGGGUGUGAAAACUCAAGGCUCAACCUUGAGACGCCACUCGAUACUGCUGUGACUUGAGUCCGGUAGAGGAGUGUGGAAUUCCUGGUGUAGCGGUGAAAUGCGCAGAUAUCAGGAGGAACACCAGCGGCGAAGGCACAUCUCUGGGCCGUAACUGACGCUGAGGAGCGAAAGCGUGGGGAGCGAACAGGAUUAGAUACCCUGGUAGUCCACGCCGUAAACGGUGGGUGCUAGCUGUGGGCCACAUUCCACGUGGUCCGUGACGAAGUUAACACAUUAAGCACCCCGCCUGGGGAGUACGG
rnacentral:rRNA from 1 species